GUCUCCAUAGUGUAGUGGUUAACACAUUGAUUUGUAAAUGAAAAGUUGCUGGUUCAAUUCCAGCUGGAGACA